rnacentral:rRNA from 1 species
GAUGAACGCUGGCGGCGUGCCUAAUACAUGCCAGUCGAGCGAACAGACGAGGAGCUUUCUCCUCUGACGUUAGCGGCGGACGGGUGAGUAACACGUGGAUAACCUACCUAUAAGACUGGGAUAACUUCGGGAAACCGGAUCUAAUACCGGAUAAUAUAUUGAACCGCAUGGUUCAAUAGUGAAAGACGGUUUUGCUGUCACUUAUAGAUGGAUCCGCGCCGCAUUAGCUAGUUGGUAAGGUAACGGCUUACCAAGGCAACGAUGCGUAGCCGACCUGAGAGGGUGAUCGGCCACACUGGAACUGAGACACGGUCCAGACUCCUACGGGAGGCAGCAGUAGGGAAUCUUCCGCAAUGGGCGAAAGCCUGACGGAGCAACGCCGCGUGAGUGAUGAAGGUCUUCGGAUCGUAAAACUCUGUUAUUAGGGAAGAAAAAAUGUGUAAGUAACUAUGCACGUCUUGACGGUACCUAAUCAGAAAGCCACGGCUAACUACGUG